rnacentral:sRNA from 1 species
AAAAAAGCUGUCUAGGGUUCCGCUGCUGCUUAAGUUUGCAGCAGGUCUGGUCCGAGAGAGAGCGUAUAGAAAGCAUCAAAAGAUGUCUUUCUAUAAACACGGAAGGAUAAAAGCCUGGGAGAU